GGUCGCAUGGUGUAGUUUGGUUAUCACGUCAGUUUAACAAGUUUCUAGCUAAUUGGCAGCUCUUUAGUUUCGCUGAAGGUCCUCAGUUCAAUCCUGAGUGCGAUCA